GAAAAUAUACCUGCUUACAUUUGUUACUCUAGCCCUCAGGCCCUCAUGAGGCUCAGCCAUGCAAAAUGGAUGUUAGCUACUGUUGAAACUUUCUUGAGGUACUGAACAGUAAGAGCAUUUCAGAGAAUUUGCACUCAACCUCAAAUGUGACUUUCUGACAAUCUCCACAUACACAUACAAAAAAGAGAGAAGGAAUAUGUGCUACAGUACUCUUAUUAUGCAACACAUUGUGGGCUGGCUGAACGAAGAAGUAAAAAUUGCAACAAGGUGCACACAUCAAAAAGGAUAAUUGGAUGCCCAAAGGCCACCUCAUAAAUCUUGUAGCAGAGGCAGAAAAUAGCAUGAGUGGGGGUAAGGAUCUAUCGCUUAGGUAGACUAAGGAAGUAAAAAGUGUCAAGCGGGCAUUUGCCCCCACUCGUUGCAAAAUUGAGUGGGGGCCAAGGCCCCCGCUUGUUACACUCUAGAUCCGUCCCUGAUAUAAUCCUUCUCUAUGGAUAAAACAUGCCAUAACAGAUAUCGAUCUUAUGCACAUAAAUAUUUGGAAAUGGGUGUAAACAAAAAGGAAGAGGGCAUCAGUCAUAUCCUUUGUUGUCAUUCUUCCUACAUCCUGAGAUAACGAGCAUUACCUGACCACUACACAUGUGGUCAUUCUUCCUACAUCUUGAGAUAACGAGCAUUACCUGACCACUACACAUGUCGAUACACGUGCAAUCGGAGGCCAGUAAGGGCACCUACAACGGCGCAGCGACCAUGGCAAAGCCGGUGGCAAAGGGAAAACCUUGGUGGCCUAGCUCGUAAUGCUGUCUGAAGUUGGGUGGCUUUGGCUCUGCCAACGUCAAUGGCUUACUGCUCUCGCUCUGCAAGAUUGAUUUAACUUUCAGUAAUGCAAAAAUUUUAAUUUUUAGGAGAUUAAUAAGAAUUGACAUCCUGACAUUAA